rnacentral:rRNA from 1 species
UACGUAGGAGGCAAGCGUUGUUCGGAAUUACUGGGCGUAAAGCGCGCGCAGGCGGCCCAUCAAGUCAGGGGUGAAAGCCCGGAGCUCAACUCCGGAAUUGCCUUUGAAACUGGUGGGCUUGAGUACGGGAGAGGUGAGUGGAAUUCCCAGUGUAGAGGUGAAAUUCGUAGAUAUUGGGAAGAACACCGGUGGCGAAGGCGGCUCACUGGCCCGUUUCUGACGCUCAGGCGCGACAGCGUGGGGAUCAAACAGG